rnacentral:lncRNA from 1 species
AAGGAAAAAAAUCUAAUUGACUUGUCAGGAUUGUUUUUCAUCUUUAAUUAAGGCUCGUGAAGGAAGCAGUAAUUACACUUUACUGAUAAAUAAUAAAAAGGGGGAUCAUGCAAAUCAAAACCAAGCCCUGCCCUUGGGAAGGGCCUUGGGUGUGUGGGUGCAGCCCUGGCAGGGUGUCCCUGGGGCUCAGCUCUGUGUCCCCAGGGCUGUCCUGGAGGGCAGGGUGGGCUCAGGCUGCUCUGAAGAGAGAGACAGAGCUGCUCCCAGCAGGAACCGAGAAUUGUGGCUGGUUCAGGUAAAAAUGGGAGCAGUUCUGUGGGGACAAGGGUGGUGGCCACUGGGUUUGAUGGUUCUCUGUGGCCCCAGGAGCUUAGGGGUGUGGGGGGCAUCAGUGUCCUUCCUCACUUCAUUCCUGCAUCUUUUGGAAGAGGCAUGGACAGCCCAGAGAGCCAACAGGGCCCCAGAGGCAGGACAGGAGCAGAAGUUGAGGUGCUCAUCCUGUGGAGAUGUCCUGUGGAGAUGUCCUUCUGUCCCACCUGGAUUCAUCAGUGUCCUGGCUCUUUCCCUAAUCCUGGCUGACAGACAGCGCUGGAAGUGUUGGGGAGUUCAGCUCCAGCCCGGGGUGUCAGCAGUUGGCACAGAGGUGGCAGGAGGGGACCCCUGUGCCAGCCCUCUCCACCUGCCCCGAGGGGCUGCUGUUCCCAGAAGAUGCUCAGCUUUGUCCUGACUGCCCCCACCGUGGCCAUCCUGCCCCUGGAGAGCCCCAAAACCUCUGCAGGACACGGGGAAUGUUGUCAGGAGGGUGCCCAGAGCUCACCCAGCCCGGUGCAGAGGGCCAGGCCCGAGGCUGUCAGGGAAUGGUGGACAAGGAUUCCUCUUCCUCUCUUCCUUCAGGAGAAGCCAGACCCUUCCCAGGGUGAGGGCCCCACCUGGAGCCCCCAUCCCUGUCCCUCCAAGCAGCUCAUGGCACUUCAGACCUCUAAAUGUUCGGCUUGUUCCUUUUGAUGUGGCAUGUUGGAAGCUGCCUCGAGCCGAGGGGCAGGCCAGAGGCAGGGCUGAGGGAGGCUGUGUUAACCCUCCUGACUGACCUGGCAGAUUAAUUCAUUAAAACGAAACCAAAUUCAACAUGCCCAUUUAUCGCCUGGGAUGUCCCUGCAAGGCCAAGAGCUGCUGUGGCUCAGGCUGGGCUCAUCCUCACCCCAUCCUCAUCCUCUGACCCUGAACUGCAGAGCCCUGUGGGGCUGCCCACGCC